rnacentral:misc_RNA from 1 species
UUUCCGUAGGUGAACCUGCGGAAGGAUCAUUAAUGAAUAUUAGGGCGCCUUUACUCAACCGUAUCGGGCCUGACCUCCAUUAUUUACACUUGUGCACCAAAAAAUCAAUGUUGCAAUGGCGAAACGAGGACUUUUUUGGUCUUCAUAGUAGUAAUUGCUUCAUUUUUACUUAUUAUACUCCAAGUCAAUGAAUGUAAUUAAACCAUAACAAAAUAAAACUUUCAACAACGGAUCUCUUGGCUCUC